AGGACGAACGCUGGCGGCGUGCUUAACACAUGCAAGUCAAGGACUGUAGCUCCGCAAGGGGAUGCAGGACUGGCGCACGGGUGCGGAACACGUAGGUAAUCUGCCCCUUAGGGGAGAACAACUCGUCGAAAGACGAGCUAAAACUCCGUAAUAUGAGAGACCGGCAUCGGUUUUUCAUCAAGCUUUCUAAGGGAUGAGCCUGCGCCUGAUUAGCUAGUUGGUAGUGUAAUAGACUACCAAGGCUACGAUCAGUAGCUGGUCUGAGAGGACGAUCAGCCACACUGGGACUGAGACACGGCCCAGACUCCUACGGGAGGCAGCAGUAGGGAAUCUUGCGCAAUGGGGGAAACCCUGACGCAGCGACGCCGCGUGCGGGAUGAAGGCCUUCGGGUCGUAAACCGCUUUCAGCAGGGACGAAAUUGACGGUACCUGCAGAGAAGGCCCGGCCAACUACGUGCCAGCAGCCGC
rnacentral:rRNA from 1 species